rnacentral:rRNA from 1 species
CCUACGGGUGGCAGCAGUGAGGAAUAUUGGUCAAUGGACGCAAGUCUGAACCAGCCAAGUAGCGUGCAGGAUGACGGCCCUCCGGGUUGUAAACUGCUUUUAGUUGGGAAUAAAAGGGGGCUCGUGAGCCCCGUAUUGUAUGUACCAUCAGAAAAAGGACCGGCUAAUUCCGUGGCAGCAGCCGCGGUAAUACGGAAGGUCCGGGCGUUAUCCGGCUUUAGUGGGUUUAAAGGGAGCGUAGGCCGGCUUUUAAGUCAGCUGUGAAAGUCCGCGGCUCAACCGUGGAAUUGCAGUUGAAACUGGAGGCCUUGAGUGCACACAGGGAUGCCGGAAUUCAUGGUGUAGCGGUGAAAUGCUUAGAUAUCAUGAAGAACUCCGAUCGCGAAGGCAAGUGUCCGGGGUGCAACUGACGCUGAGGCUCGAAAGUGCGGGUAUCAAACAGGAUUAGAUACCCUUGUAGUC